rnacentral:rRNA from 1 species
CAAGGAAUUUUGCGCAAUGGGCGAAAGCCUGACGCAGCAACGCCGCGUGGGGGAUGAAGGCUCUCGGGUCGUAAACCCCUUUUGCUGGGGAAGUAACUGACGGUACCCAGCGAAUAAGCCACGGCUAACUACGUGCCAGCAGCCGCGGUAAUACGUAGGUGGCGAGCGUUGUCCGGAUUUACUGGGCGUAAAGCGCGCGCAGGUGGCCUGCCAAGUCUGGGGUGAAAUCUCUCGGCUCAACCGAGAGGGGGUCUCUGGAUACUGGCAAGCUUGAGGAGAGCAGAGGAGAGUGGAAUACCCGGUGUAGCGGUGAUAUGCGUAGAUAUCGGGUGGAACACCAGUGGCGAAGGCGACUCUCUGGGCUCUUCCUGACGCUCAGGCGCGAAAGCGUGGGGAGCAAACCGGAUUAGAUACCCGGGUAGUCCACGCUGUAAACGUUGGGUACUAGGUGUGAGAGGUAUUGACCCCUUUCGUGCCGUAGCUAACGCGAUAAGUACCCCG